GACGAACCGUGCGAACGUUGUUCGGAUUCACUGGGCUUAAAGGGCGCGUAGGCGGUCUCGCAAGUCCGGGGUGAAAUCUUUCGGCUCAACCGGAAAAUUGCCUUGGAUACUGCGAGGCUCGAGGGAGGUAGGGGUCACGGGAACAUCCAGUGGAGCGGUGAAAUGCGUUGAUAUUGGAUGGAACGCCGGUGGCGAAAGCGCGUGACUGGACCUCUUCUGACGCUGAGGCGCGAAAGCCAGGGUAGCGAACGGG
rnacentral:rRNA from 1 species